GAGACAGUAUAUGUCUCAUUAACUCUUUCAUUCCAGUUUUUAAUUAAAAAACGAUUGAUUAUGCUACCUUUGUACAGUCAGUUAUACUGCAGCCAUUAAAUUUUUAAAAUCAUUGGGCAGAAUUGACUUAAAAUUAUUACUCAAUAAGCCAUGUUUUUGUUAAACAGGUGGAUAUAUUAAAUUUGCCGAAUUCCUUAUAUAUAUAUAUAUAUUAUUUAUUAAUUACUAAUUCAAUCAUUAUUAUAUUUAAUUUUAAUAAAUUAAAAAUUAUUUUUUUUUUAAAUAUACAU
rnacentral:misc_RNA from 1 species